rnacentral:rRNA from 1 species
CGGGGUAGAGUAACACGUGGGUAACCUGCCCAUCAGAAGGGGAUAACACUUGGAAACAGGUGCUAAUACCGUAUAACAAUCGAAACCGCAUGGUUUCGGUUUGAAAGGCGCUUUUGCGUCACUGAUGGAUGGACCCGCGGUGCAUUAGCUAGUUGGUGAGGUAACGGCUCACCAAGGCAACGAUGCAUAGCCGACCUGAGAGGGUGAUCGGCCACAUUGGGACUGAGACACGGCCCAA